CGGGUGGCUGCAGCAAGGAAUAUUGCGCAAUGGGCGAAAGCCUGACGCAGCGACACCGCGUGGGGGAUGAAGGCCUUCGGGUUGUAAACCCCUUUUAUCAGGGAAGAAUAAUGACGGUACCUGAUGAAUAAGUCUCGGCUAACUACGUGCCAGCAGCCGCGGUAAUACGUAGGAGGCGAGCGUUAUCCGGAUUUACUGGGCGUAAAGAGCGCGUAGGUGGCUCUUCAAGUCGGAUGUAAAAUCUCCCGGCUCAACUGGGAGGGACCAUUCGAUACUGUCGGGCUAGAGGGCAGCAGAGGGAGGUGGAAUUCCCGGUGUAGUGGUGAAAUGCGUAGAUAUCGGGAGGAACACCAGUGGCGAAGGCGGCCUCCUGGGCUGUACCUGACACUGAGGCGCGAAAGCGUGGGGAGCGAACAGGAUUAGAUACCCCGGUAGUC
rnacentral:rRNA from 1 species